GAUCAUUAAUGAAGAUGUUGAACAAAACCAGCCCUAGGACCGACUCCUGGGGCACUCCGCUUGAUGCUGGCUGCCAACUAGACAUGGAGCCUUUGAUCACUACCCGUUGAGCCUCACAAUCGAGCCAGCGUUCUGUCCACCUUAUCGUCCA